UAAUAGGAAAUUAAGAGCAUAUGGCGGAUGCCUUGGUUCUACAUGGCGAUGAAAGACGUGAUAUGGCUGCGAUAAGCUUCGGGGAGGUGCCUAAUAACCUUUGAUCCGGAGAUGUCUGAAUGGGGAAACCUAAUAGAGUAAACCUCUAUUAUCUUGGUCCGUAAGAGAUCAAGAUGCGCACCUCGGGAAGUGAAACAUCUCAGUACCGAGAGGAAAAGAAAACAAUGUGGUGUAUACCACGAUAUUCCCCAAGUAGCGGCGAGCGAAAAGGGAACAGCCCAAACCGGAGCAUCACUGAGUGCGCGAUUGAUAUAGAUUUAUUUAUUGAUUUCGUGUGCUCUGUGAUGUUCCGGGGUUGUAAGGCAGUGAGUCUCGUUUUACGAGAAAAGUUACAAAAUGUAUGUAUAGAAAAAGUUGUUGGAAACCAACACCAUAGUGGGUGAUAGUCCCGUAUUCGAAAUGCAUAUAUCUUUUUAUCACUGUUCUUGAGUACUUCAGGACACGAAUAGCUUGAAGGAAUCCACCAGAACUAACUGGUAAGGCUAAAUACAUUGUAGAAACCGAUAGUGAACUAGUACCGUGAGGGAAAGGUGAAAAGUACUCCGAGAGGAGGGUGAAAUAGUACUGAAACCAUAUGCUUACAAGGAGUCGGAGCGGGUAUUUAUAUCCGUCACGGCGUGCCUAUUGAAGAAUGAGCCAACGAGUUUAUGUGUGCGGCUUGGCUAAGGAGUACAGCUCCGGAGCCACAGCGAAAGCAAGUGUUAAUAGCGCGUCUGCCCCUCGGGGCGGUCGUACACAUAAGACCCGAAGCCAGGUGAGCUAUCCAUGAGCAGGGUGAAGUUUGACGAAAGUCAGAUGGAGGCCCGAACCGGUAGAUCGUACAACGUCUUCGGAUGACUUGUGGAUUGGAGUGAAAAGCUAAUCGAACCUGGUAAUAGCUGGUUCUCUCCGAAAUAGCUUUAGGGUUAGCGUCACGCGUUCCCAUAGGGGGUAGAGCACUGGAAGGUUUCGACAGGGAGCAAUCUCGCGACACCUAUCAAACUCCGAAUACCUAUGGUCAAGUAGCGUGGCAGUUAGUCUACGGGGGCUAAGCUCCGUUAGACAAAAGGGAAACAGCCCAGAUCUCUAAUUAAGGUCCCUAAAUAUAUACUAAGUACAUACUAAGGAUGUGAGAUUUCUCUGACAAUGAGGAAGUUGGCUUAGAAGCAGCCAUCUUUUAAAGAAAGCGUAACAGCUCACUCAUCAAGAGAUCUUGCGCCGCAGAUAAUCGGGGUUAAGUAUAUUACCGAAGUUGAGGGCUUGUAGAUUUAAUAAAGGAAGAUAAAAAUAUGUCCGGGAGAGUCUAUUGUAUCGAAGUUGAAUUGUCUGAAAAACAAACUAAUAAGUUAUCUAAUUGAUAUUUAACAUAUUAGAAAAACAACUGAGACGCAAUUAUUAGACGGGGGUUCGUAGCCCUCCCCGGACACAAAUUUUGGAAGUAUUUCUUCCUUCUUUUAUUAAAUCUACAAGCGGUAGGAGAGUAUUCUGUUCUCGCUGUGAAGCUAAAGGCGUGAGCCAUAGUGGAGCGUACAGAAGUAAGAAUGUUGGCACAAGUAACCGCAAGCAGGGUGAGAUCCCCUGCCGUCGAAAGAUCAAGGUUUCCUGGGCAAUGGUGAUCAUCCCAGGGUUAGUCGGGUCCUAAGGUCAUGGCGAAAGCCGCAGUCGAUGGACAUAAGGUUAAUAUUCCUUAACUUCUUAUACAAUCGAAGGAGGGACGAAGUGUAGUAAUGUGGGCCACUUAUUGGAUUGUGGUAGACAUGUCGCGUAUCAGAGAUAGGCAAAUCCGUUUCUGUGUCUUUAAUGACAAAUAUCAAACAUGGAUCGUGCAGAGGUUCGCCCGAGCGGAGUCACAUGAGCACGCUUCCAAGAAAAGCUUCUAAGAUUAUUGUAUGAGAACCCGUACCGCAAACCGACACAGGUGAUCAGGUCGAGUAGACCAAGACGAACGAGUGAGAGGUCCUCAAGGAACUCGGCAAAAAAGCAGCCGUAACUUCGGAAUAAGGCUUCCCCAUGUUUACAUGGGGCGCAGCGAAAGUAUCUCUGGCAACUGUUUA
rnacentral:rRNA from 1 species